rnacentral:rRNA from 1 species
CCUACGGGAGGCAGCAGUGGGGAAUAUUGGGCAAUGGGCGCACGCCUGACCCAGCAACGCCGCGUGAAGGAAGAAGGCUUUCGGGUUGUACACUUCUUUUUAGAGGGAAGAGCAGAAGACGGUACCUCUUGAUUAAGCCACGGCUAACUACGUGACAGCAGCCGCGGUCAUACGUAGGUGGCAGGCGUUUUCCGGAUUUACUGGGUGUAAAGGGCGUGCAGCCGGGAAGACAAGUCAGAUGUGAAAUCCCGCGGCUCAAACGCGGAACUGCAUUUGAAACUGUUUUUCUUGAGUACCGGAGAGGUCAUCGGAAUUCCUUGUGUAGCGGUGAAAUGCGUAGAUAGAAGGAAGAACACCAGUGGCGAAGGCGGAUGACUGGACGGCAACUGACGGUGAGGCGCGAAAGCGUGGGGAGCAAACAGGAUUAGAUACCCGAGUAGUC